rnacentral:rRNA from 1 species
AUGAGCGAGAGCGAGCAGAGGCCGGUGCCGAGGCGGGAGAGCCCGUGGGGCUUGCCGGAGGGGGACAAGCGGCAGCCCAAGGCGCACCGCUGCAACGACCGCGUCGAGGAUGUCGUCCAGGCUGCCUUUGAAGGGAAUCCAUUCAAGACAGUUCCAGGCCCAUUCAAGGUCUUUUGGCAAUGCAUGCGCUCGAAACCUGGGGAGGAACCAACUGUACCAUUUACUUACCUGCAGCUGGAUCCUCCGAAGAGGGUAGAGGCCAAGCUAGAGUAA